rnacentral:rRNA from 1 species
GCCAGACUCCUACGGGAGGCAGCAGUGGGGAAUAUUGCACAAUGGGGGAAACCCUGAUGCAGCAACGCCGCGUGAGUGAAGAAGUAUUUCGGUAUGUAAAGCUCUAUCAGCAGGGAAGAAAAUGACGGUACCUGAGUAAGAAGCCCCGGCUAACUACGUGCCAGCAGCCGCGGUAAUACGUAGGGGGCAAGCGUUAUCCGGAUUUACUGGGUGUAAAGGGAGCGUAGACGGCGAUGCAAGUCUGAAGUGAAAGCCCGGGGCUCAACCCCGGGACUGCUUUGGAAACUGUAUGGCUGGAGUGCAGGAGAGGUAAGUGGAAUUCCUAGUGUAGCGGUGAAAUGCGUAGAUAUUAGGAGGAACACCAGUGGCGAAGGCGGCUUACUGGACUGUAACUGACGUUGAGACUCGAAAGCGUGGGGAGCAAACAGGAUUAGAUACCCUAGUACCU